UGGCAAUGAUGUCUGAAUUUCUUCACCUGAAACAUCUGUGUUGAUCAAACAUACGAGCUUUUUAACCCUGAGCAGU
ensembl:snoRNA SNORD36 Small nucleolar RNA SNORD36